UGCUUGCACAAACUUAUAUACAGGUGCUGCACGGCNGUUCGUCAGCUCGUGUCGUGAGAUGUUGGGUUAAGUCCCGCAACGAGCGCAACCCUCGUCAUUAGUUGCUAACAGUUCGGCUGAGAACUCUAAUGAGACUGCCUACGCAAGUAGGAGGAAGGUGAGGACGACGUCAAGUCAUCAUGGCCCUUACGUCCAGGGCUACACACGUGCUACAGUGGGGUAUACAAAGAGCAGCAAUACGGUGACGUGGAGCAAAUCUCAAAAAUAUCUCCCAGUUCGGAUUGUAGUCUGCAACUCGACUACAUGAAGUUGGAAUCGCUAGUAAUCGUAGAUCAGCUAUGCUACGGUGAAUACGUUCCCGGGUCUUGUACACACC
rnacentral:rRNA from 1 species